UUCCGGUUGAUCCCGCCGGAGGCUACCGCUAUUGGAGUUCGAUUAAGCCAUGCGAGUCGCGAGAAAUUAGAUUCUCGGCGUACCGCUCAGUAACACGUGGGUAACCUGCCCUAUGCUGGAUAAUAACCUCGGGAAACUGAGAAUAAUGAUCCAUAGUUCACUACGCCUGGAACGGUGAGUGGAUGAAAGCUCCGGCGGCAUAGGAUGGGCCUGCGGCGUAUCAGGUUGUAGGGGGUGUAACGUACCCUCUAGCCCUCUACGCGUACGGGUGUUGGGAGACAUAGCCCGGAGAUGGAUUCUGAGACACGAAUCCAGACCCUACGGGGUGCAGCAGGCGCGAAAACUUGGCAAUGCGAGAAAUCGUGACCAGGGAACUCCAAGUGCAUGGGGUAAGACCCAUGCUUUUCUUGACUCUAAAUAGGUCUUGGAAUAAGGGGUGGGUAAGGACGGUGCCAGCCGCCGCGGUAAUACCGGCAGCUCGAGUGGUCGUCGCUUUUAUUGGGCCUAAAACGUCCGUAGCCUGUUUGGUAAAUCUAUGGGUAAAUCAACGAGCUUAACUCGUUGAAUUCUGCAGAGACUGCCAGACUAGGGACCGGGAGAGGUAUGAGGUACUCUGGGGGUAGGGGUAAAAUCCUGUCAUCCUCAGAGGACCACCUGUUGCGAAGGCGUCAUACUGGAACGGAUCCGACGGUCAGGGACGAAGCCUAGGGGCACGAACCGGAUUAGAUACCCGGGUAGUCCUAGGUGUAAACGCUGUGGAUUUGGUGUGUGGGGUCCGCAAUGGGCCCCAUGUGCCGGAGUGAAGAUGUUAAAUCCACUGCCUGGGGAGUACGGUCGCAAGGCUGAAACUUAAAGGAAUUGGCGGGGGAGCACUGCAACGGGAGGAGCGUGCGGUUUAAUUGGAUUCAACGCCGG
rnacentral:rRNA from 1 species